AUGAAGAAGAAGGGUGUUAGCAUUGUUGCAUUGUGGGAAAGAGCUUCCAAGGCAAAUAAAAGAAUUUCGACAUCUACACCAAAUCCUCCUUAUGUUGAAGUUGAGAGCAGUAUCAUUCCUCCUACUAUUAAGAGCAAUCUGCAACUGGCACUUGUGCAAGCACAUGAACCUGAUGAUGGACACACAAAACCUGAGAGUGCAGCCGGCUCCCCAACCCCUAUUGUAGAAGAUGAUGAAGCAAAUGAUGAAGUUCAGUUUGAAAUAGAUUUGGAAGCACUUGAGUCUAAUCCUAGGAAACGGAUCCCCAUCUCUAGGUACAAUGUCAAUGACCGGGAUAAAGUUAGAAGGAGAUACAUCGAGUUGGGGGCAUGUCAACCAAAGAAACAUAAUUUUGAGUAUAGAGAUAUAAGUGGAUUACAACGUCGCUUUUCUCCUUCUUGGUUUAAGGAUUACAAGUGGCUUGAGUAUAGUGUGGACAAACAAGCCGCUUUCUGCUUCGUUUGCUAUUUGUUCAAGGAUAAAACAAGAUGUCCCGGUGGAGAUGCUUUUGUGAAGAAGGGAUUUAAUAACUGGAACAUGAAGUCGAGAUUGAAGAAACAUGAAGGUGAGGUUUGUAGUGCUCAUGCUGAAGCUCAAGAGAAGUAUGAUAGGUUCAGUACACCACAAACAUCAAUUUGGGAGUCUAUUGCUUCAAACACCUCACAAUACAAGGCUUUGUAUAAACAGCGUUUGACAUGGACACUCAAGUGUGUGAGAUUUCUGUUGCACCAAGGCUUGGCAUUUAGAGGACAUGAUGAAAGUGAAGACUCACUAAAUAAAGGAAAUUUCCUUGAGCUUCUAAAUUGGCUAGCAGGAAAUUUCGAAGAGGUUGACAGGGUUGUUCUCAAGAAUGCUCCACAGAACUGCAGGAUGACUCACCAUGAUAUACAGCAAGAGGUGAUAAAAUGUUGUGCACAAGAGACUACUAAACUAGUCAUUGAGGAACUUGAUGGUGAUCAUUUUGCAAUACUUGCAGAUGAAUCUAGUGAUGUUUAUCAGAAUGAACAGUUGGUUGUUUGCUUGCGUUAUGUUGAAAAGAAAGGAAGGGCGGUUGUAAGAUUUCUUGGUCUUGCUCAUGUUGAAGAUACCACCUCUUUGACACUAAAAGCUGCAAUUCAGAAAAUGCUUAUGGACUACAAUUUGACCUUCGCAAUGGUUCGUGGGCAAGGAUAUGAUGGAGCUAGUAACAUGAGAGGUAAUGCUAAUGGCCUGAAAAAACUGAUUAUGGAUGAGUCCCCUUCUGCCUACUAUGUUCAUUGUUUUGCCCAUCAACUACAGUUAACUCUUGUUGCUGUUGCUAAGGAGAGUGGUGAUUGUACUUGGUUCUUUCAGCAGCUUGCACACUUGUUAAAUGCUCUUGGCAUGUCUUGUAAAAAGAUGAGAAUGCUUCGGAUAGCUCAGGCUGAAGAACUCAUUGAUGCAUUGGAAUUGGAAGAAGUAGAAACAAGGAGUGGGCUGAAUCAGGAAAUGGGUUUGGGAAGGCCAUGUGAUACACGUUGGACCUCUCACUUCAAAACUGUGAACCGUGCCAUCUCUAUGUAUGGUACACUACGACGAGUCCUUCGCAAGAUUGGAGAUGAGUACCAUGGUGCGGAGGCACAAGCAGCUCUAUCCAUAGAGAAAAUAUUUUGA
rnacentral:rRNA from 1 species